rnacentral:rRNA from 1 species
GGGGAAUCUUAGACAAUGGGGGAAACCCUGAUCUAGCCAUGCCGCGUGAGCGAUGAAGGCCUUAGGGUUGUAAAGCUCUUUCAGCUGGGAAGAUAAUGACGGUACCAGCAGAAGAAGCCCCGGCUAACUCCGUGCCAGCAGCCGCGGUAAUACGGAGGGGGCUAGCGUUGUUCGGAAUUACUGGGCGUAAAGCGCACGUAGGCGGACUGGAAAGUUGGGGGUGAAAUCCCGGGGCUCAACCCCGGAACUGCCUUCAAAACUCCCAGUCUGGAGUUCGAGAGAGGUGAGUGGAAUUCCGAGUGUAGAGGUGAAAUUCGUAGAUAUUCGGAGGAACACCAGUGGCGAAGGCGGCUCACUGGCUCGAUACUGACGCUGAGGUGCGAAAGCGUGGGGAGCAAAC